CACAGACUGUGUCACUAGGCUAUAUCCUUGAUGAAUGCACAGUCAGACUCAGAUAUCUGGUGCAACCUACCAAAACUUCAGAUGGGGCCACAGACACCUUUGGUGCAAUUGCUGGACACAGCCUUUUCUAUGUUCAACAAGCAGGGUCUGAGGAGAAACAAAAGAAAAAGACUAAGAAUAUAGCUGUUGGAGUUGGUAAUGCCUCAAACCCAC
rnacentral:lncRNA from 1 species